CCAGCAGCCGCGGUAAUUCCAGCUCUAAUAGCGUAUAUUAAAGUUGUUGCAGUUAAAAAGCUCGUAGUCGGAAUUCGGGUUCGGGCAGGCUUCUGACCUCUGGGAAGAUGGCAGGCUCGGAUCUUUCUGCCUUGUUUCUAUUUCGCACUUAACUGUUCGGAGUAGGGAUUAGGCCGUUUACUUUGAAAAAAUUAGAGUGUUCAAAGCAGGCCAACGCUUGAAUAUAUUAGCAUGGAAUAAUAAGAUAGGACUUUGGUACUAUUUUGUUGGUUUGUGCACCAGAGUAAUGAUUAAUAGGGACAGUUGGGGCUAUUCGUAUUCCAUUGUCAGAGGUGAAAUUCUUGGAUUUCUGGAAGACGAACUACUGCGAAAGCAUUUAGCAAGGAUGUUUUCA
rnacentral:rRNA from 1 species